UCAAUAAUAAAUUUAUAUAAACACCUCGUUAAAAAAGUAAUGUUAGGUCCAUGGGUCCAUCUACGUACUUAAGUAGGGCUACAGCAGACUAAUGAAAGGGCUGAGUAAUGAGAGGUCCUAACUUGUGGAGAUAUUCAAACUCGUCAAAAUCAUCAUCAUCAUCAAGGAUUGAGCUCAUUCAUCACAAUAUUCGUGAUCACCAUUAUCAUACAACUUUACCGUGAUCAGCAUCAGAAACCAUUUUCUUCACGCAUCUCAUUCGGCGAAUUUAGUAAGAAGUUCUGCACGUCACAACAAAAAUCAAAUUGGAUUUGAACCUGGUCCCUGAGAUGUAGAGGCAAGGCACCUACCAGUUCUACCAGUACCGGUACCUUACAAACCAGUACCAAUCCUACCAGUACCAGUUCUUUCCCACCCAGUACCAGUCAUAUCAAUCUUUACCUACAGUCCAUCAGGUGAUGGAACAAACCAACGGACGUUACAUCAACACCUGCUUAUAGCGAGUCCACAAACAGUUGCCUUUCAUUAGAGAGGAUUGCAGAUAAGAUAACAAAUCUCUGUUUGUUAUCAUUCACUUGCUGAUCAAACAGUUGCAUAGAAUGACCAGCUAGAAACUUGAUACUUUGUGAUAGAAGUGAAGUCUGUGAUGCUCUACCCAAUAUGAGGUGUAGGGACUGACCCUCAUUUUUACAGGAACCCAGGAACUUGAGGAUGUGUAGGGAGAUACAUAUUUCACAUCCGAUCACCAUGGGUUGAUAUUCGGUAUCAAAUAGCAAAAUAUGAUUACAAAUAUUAAAGCGCUUUUAAGAGAAAAUCAGUUCUUUUAUCAAAAUAAUAUCAGAAUCUUUGAGUGGAUGCAUAUGGUGGACGGCAGUAAGGUGUCAGGUUUCUAGUUGAAUGAUCAUGGGUUCAAAUCAGGAUUGUAGAUCUUUUUUCUUCAUAAUCUUUUGAAGAAUAUUUUGUCCGAGCAAGAAUAUUCGAAAUUGAAGAGUGUCCCUUUUCGCUUAGCUGUAUGAAUGCCUGGUCAGAUGUGAAUGCUUAAUGAUUUUUUUUAUUUGUGCUAAAUAUCCAUGGAUGUAGGCUAGGGGUGGGAGCAGGGGGUGCACCCCCUUCCCUCCCCCUCAUGGCAACAAAUUAGUUCCACUAAGUGGGUUAAAAUACUAAAAAUUACCAUUAAGUUUUCAUUCGAAUAGGGAUCAUUUCCGCAUUUUCAAUUAUUCGCUCCCCCAAAGCCAAAGCAGCCCAAUAUCAUCCACAGCUUGGGAAGGCCCAUAAUCAAGAAUCUUUUUUUAUUAUUGUGAUAGACAUUCCCAAUGGGUGUAUAACACCCUAGUUUAGCCUGUUAGCUUUACCCUAGACUGGGUUUUAUUUCUUAGCAUUACAUAUUCCCCUGGUCCCUAUAUUUUGCGUAUUAUAUAGUAUUCCAAUAAUUCAUUUUUGUUGAUAAGUAUUCUGUUUUAAUUUUAUAAGCAAAUUAAACAAACUUUUACUACUUUUUGUGUAAAGUUGGUAUUUGUUUAUCGAUUUAAAGAAGAGUAUAAUUCAGUUUAGGAAUAAAAACAUUUCUGAAUAGAAUGUACAAUUUGGUAAAAUGAACUUCAUCUUCAAUUGAACUUAAAUUGCUGAGUUUAUUACUAGUAUGUGCACUAAAGAAUAUUAUACAUAAACAACUUAGGGGUGAAGUCUUCCCUUCCCAAUUUCUAUGGAAAAAGGCUUUUCUAUGGAUCAGGGGAGAUGCCCGGGAACCAAAGCUGGCAUGUGAAUCUGUAUCAUCAUUUAAAUAAUUUGGAAUUUGGUUUUGUUCUUCAGUAGGGGUGUCAGGUAUACCAUAUUCAUUUUUUAUUAUACGAAAUACAUGAUACUAUCUGAGAAAAAACACCAAUCACAGUUUGCUGGCUUUAAACUUAUACUAACAAAUUGGCUGCCAAUAACACUGUGUCCUUCAGAAAUAUUGCCUCUUUGUCACUCUUCAAUUUCCAAUAUUUGCUCAUAGAAAAUAGUCUUCAAAAGAUUAUGACCUGAGGAAUAAAGAUCUACAAUCCUGAAAUAACUAACAGUUGUUUUAUUAUAUUUAAUUUAUUCCUGUUAGUCAAUUUAAUGAUUGUAUUAUACAAUCGCAAUUGUUAUAGAUUUGAAGCCAUCUGUUGAUACAGUCCAUUUGUGGUAACCUAUAUUAAAUGAUAAUAAAGUACGAUGAAAUAGUUCACCUUGAAUUCUGCCUCUUCUAUUGCAUGCAAAUCCAGCUCACCCACCUCUUUAUUUACAAUAACUUUAACGAUUGUAGAAAUUUUAUUUCAUUUAGUACAAACAUUUGUUGUGGUUGUUUAUUAGUUUGAAAUGAUUUUUUUCCGGCCUUGAGAGAUUUGCAAAGGAUAAUAGCCAAAUGUUUUUAUUGUAAUGUACAUAUGCGUACAUAUGUAGAUAAAUUACAAUAUAUAUUGUGUUGGCUUUAGAAACGAGGUUUUUAUUUAUCUUUAUCACUCUGUUUAUGUAAUAAAUGUUCUUUGUGUACUAUUAUUUUCUCUUCCUCUAUUACAUCCCAUGUGUAAAAUAGAUUGUACAUAUAGUAUUGGGAGAAGAUACAAUAUUGUUGAAAGUAUAAUAAAAUAUCAUUAAUCUUAGAGAAGCACUGUUCCUAUAUUUGUGUAUUAUAAUAUUAAUUCUUCCCCUCCAACAAACCCAUGUUAAUAUAUCUUGGUAUACCACAGUAUAUGCUUUGAAUUUCAACUGAUACAUAGAUUAUAUAAUUAGUUUCACAUUUUCAAAUUGUACUAUGAAAUUUUGAGGCAGUGAGGGUAAAUUACACCAAGGAGGUAUUAAAUAAACGAUUACACACAGAUGCUGUUGGGAGAGCCAAGGCAUGUAGUCUUCAAAGGGGCCCAGCCAUUCUACUACAGGCUUAUACAGUAGGUCCCUAUAUUUUCCCCCAAGUCUCCAAGAAUUUUUGUCAAGCUGCUAGUUUCGGAAUGGUCUGGUUUGAAAUUAUAAUUAUUAUUAAUGAUAUUUUAUUGUAUCAAUGUUGCCCUUUAGUUGUAUGUAAGAAGAGCCACAAAAUGUUUGAUAUCAAGAUUCACACUUUAGUGUCCAUCUAAAGAAAUACAAAGCAGAAUAAUUUCAUUGCAUGUAUACAAAUCCGUAUACAAAUGUUACGAGAGUAAUUAUAAAAUAGAAACAUCUACCUGAAUAUUUUAACUUUUUUUCCCUCUAUGAUAUAUAUACAUUUAUAAAUUAUAAUUAACUAGUACUUUUAAGUUUAAAUGGAGAGUAAUUUUUGAUAAUUUGUCCUAAAUUAGAAGACAAGAGUGUUAUCUGUUCUGAUAAAGAGAUAACGGAUGAACCAAUUAUCAGAAACCAUUUAUCAGAACACCUUCGAAAGCUGAACUACUGAAUUGCCGGAUAUCUGAUCAGCAGUAGCGUUCACAAUUGAUCGCUCAUUAUCCAAAUCUGAAAGUAUAUAGAUUUAAGCAUGCCUAAUUCAACUUUACUUUCACGGCUCAUAAAAAGUGGGCUCUCUUGAGACAUAGUGACUACUUUAUUGCGUGUUGGCUGUCAAUAGAAUAAGCAUUUGGCUUACUUUGUCAGGCUAGGGAUUCGGACAAUACGCUAAGUCUUUAGAUCUAUAUGAUUUCAUUGCCCACUAUCGAUUGUGUAAUAAAGUGUUUUUGUGCCAUAUGUAAUAAUACACUAAGCAUUUUGUAUUGACAAUUGUCACGCUUGGAUGAUUUACACGACGAAUGUGCUAUCUCUUCAAUCAUUGAUAUAGAUUUUGAGAUACUUCAGCCGCAAUAUAUACCGGUUCAUUGUGGUUUUAUCACUUUAUCACCAACAGUUUACAAUUAUUAAAUCCUCUUAAAUGCUUUAAUUCUGUACUUUUAAUGGUUUAAAUUGUUUGUGAUCAAGUCCAUUUUUGUCAGUGUUAAUGGUUAAUAGGACUUCUAUUUUUUCUAUGUAUAUUAUACUGAAAGUUCAAGAAUUUAUUCUUUAAUUUAAAUGCUUUAAUUCAGUGGUUUAAAUUGUUUGUGAUCGAGAUUGAUUUUGUCAGCGUUAUUGGUUAAUAGUAAAGGACUUGUAUCUUUUUAAUGUUUUUUACUGAAAUUGCACUAAUUUAUUCUUUAAUUUAAAUGCUUUACUUCUGUACUUUUAAUGGUUUAAAUUGUUGGUGAUCAAGUUCAUUUUUUUGUCAGUGUUAAUGGUUAAUAGUACUGCAAUUGCCUUUAAUUGGUGUGAGAUCUGCAUUUUCAUUAAUAAUAGUUAAUUAUUAUAUGAUUUGGGAAAAACAAAUAUACAAAAUGGUUUGCCCAGGUAGGGAAUGAGUAAAAACUUGUAGAACUGUUUAUGCAAUAUUUCUUUUUUAUAGUUUAAUACUGUAAUAAUAUUUUUAUACUUAAUUUUCUGUAAACUUAUUAACACAUUUCUGCAAGACGUUAAAGAAGAACUUUUCUUAUACAACCCUUCAUUAAACUAGGUGUUAUUACUUGUACUUUUAUAUGGACACGUUAUCUCUGAAAUCCGUCUAUUCAAAGCAACUCCAGGCUAUGAUCUAGCAUAUUGAUUUUCUGUUCGAAACAAUGCUUUUAGAAAUUAUAAUAAUUAAGGAGUUAGUGGAGGAUUGUUAUUGCAUUAGAGUGGCAUUUGUAAGAUGUUUCUUAUUACUAUAGCUCCAAAUGAUUAACUAGUGAAUCUAAUUAACACAGGAUAAUUAACAUAAUUAAUAGAAUGAUGCUUUGUUGUUAAUGUGAUUUUGAAGUUAGUAAAGCAAAUCAUCGUUGCUCUUUUUUUUUUUUAAUUAGCUAUGUAAAAAAUUUGUUUCUUUUCAUAAUUUAUAAUUGACUUGAUUUAACCUUAAUUUUAUUUUUAGGCAAAAUAACAACAAUCAAAUAUACAUGUCUCCAUUUAAUUGAAGGACCUCUUUUGGGACCGGGGUUUUCAUGGUAUUUAAAAGCUUUAAUCUCUAAGUAGAAUGAUAAAGAUUUACAGUGAAUCAAGAGAUUAAGAAAUUAAAGAUAAAGCAAUUUGUUAAUAUGGGACCACAGAAAAGUGGUCAUUAAUUAGAGGGAGACCUGUGAUGUUUGGAUGUUAUUUUAUUUGUAAUGCGCAGCACGUGGCUCAAUACAUUUGUAAUUCUGUACUGCCCUAUGACACUGCAUAGUACAGUAUUGUCAGUCCACAUCCACCUUACCCAUUUGAUGUUGAUGAUAAAUAAAUUACUGUGAAAUAAAUACAGAAAUAUACAUUGGUUGAAUAUUCACUAUGAUUUCCUGAUUAAUAAAUGACAAAUAAAUGUAAUAUGCCCAUAUUUGGGCAUAAUAUGACAUUAUCAUGUACAUAUAAGGGCACAUCACACAAAUUUGUCACAUACAGUAAAGUAUGAUAAUAUGGACAACUUUAGGAACACUUCCUUGGCAAUGCAGCUAUAUAACUAUUCAAUAAAUUUUUUUACUUAAUAUAAGUAUUAUUAAAUCGUGUAUAACUCUUUAUUUUUAUAUU